AUUGGGUAGGGGAGCGUUCUGUAAGCCGUUGAAGGUGUGUUGUAAAGCAUGCUGGAGGUAUCAGAAGUGCGAAUGCUGACAUGAGUAACGAUAAAGGGGGUGAAAAACCCCCUCGCCGGAAGACCAAGGGUUCCUGUCCAACGUUAAUCGGGGCAGGGUGAGUCGACCCCUAAGGCGAGGCCGAAAGGCGUAGUCGAUGGGAAACGGGUUAAUAUUCCCGUACUUCUUACAAUUGCGAUGGGGGGACGGAGAAGGCUAGGUGGGCCUGGCGACGGUUGUCCAGGUUCAAGUGCGUAGGCUGAAGAGUUAGGUAAAUCCGGCUCUUCUUAAGGCUGAGACACGACGUCGAGCUACUACGGUAGUGAAGUCAUUGAUGCCAUGCUUCCAGGAAAAGCCUCUAAGCUUCAGAUUGUAAGGAAUCGUACCCCAAACCGACACAGGUGGUCGGGUAGAGAAUACCAAGGCGCUUGAGAGAACUCGGGUGAAGGAACUAGGCAAAAUGGUACCGUAACUUCGGGAGAAGGUACGCUCUCGACGGUGAAGUCCCUCGCGGAUGGAGCUAUUGAGAGUCGCAGAUACCAGGUGGCUGCAACUGUUUAUUAAAAACACAGCACUGUGCAAAAUCGUAAGAUGACGUAUACGGUGUGACGCCUGCCCGGUGCCGGAAGGUUAAUUGAUGGGGUUAGACUUCGGUCGAAGCUCUUGAUCGAAGCCCCGGUAAACGGCGGCCGUAACUAUAACGGUCCUAAGGUAGCGAAAUUCCUUGUCGGGUAAGUUCCGACCUGCACGAAUGGCGUAAUGAUGGCCACGCUGUCUCCACCCGAGACUCAGUGAAAUUGAAAUCGCUGUGAAGAUGCAGUGUACCCGCGGCUAGACGGAAAGACCCCGUGAACCUUUACUACAGCUUGGCACUGAACAUUGACCCUACAUGUGUAGGAUAGGUGGGAGGCUUUGAAACGCAGUCGCUAGAUUGCGUGGAGCCGUCCUUGAAAUACCACCCUUGUAGUGUUGAUGUUCUAACGUCGACCCCUUAUCGGGGUUGCGGACAGUGCCUGGUGGGUAGUUUGACUGGGGCGGUCUCCUCCCAAAGCGUAACGGAGGAGCACGAAGGUGGGCUAAUCACGGUUGGACAUCGUGAGGUUAGUGCAAUGGCAUAAGCCCGCUUGACUGCGAGAAUGACAAUUCGAGCAGGUGCGAAAGCAGGUCAUAGUGAUCCGGUGGUUCUGAAUGGAAGGGCCAUCGCUCAACGGAUAAAAGGUACUCCGGGGAUAACAGGCUGAUACCGCCCAAGAGUUCAUAUCGACGGCGGUGUUUGGCACCUCGAUGUCGGCUCAUCACAUCCUGGGGCUGAAGUCGGUCCCAAGGGUAUGGCUGUUCGCCAUUUAAAGUGGUACGCGAGCUGGGUUUAGAACGUCGUGAGACAGUUCGGUCCCUAUCUGCCGUGGGCGUUGGAGAAUUGAAAGGGGCUGCUCCUAGUACGAGAGGACCGGAGUGGACGAACCUCUGGUGUUCGGGUUGUGUCGCCAGACGCAUUGCCCGGUAGCUAAGUUCGGGAUCGAUAACCGCUGAAAGCAUCUAAGCGGGAAGCGAGCCUUGAGAUGAGUUCUCCCUGAUACUUUAAGUAUCCUAAAGGGUUGUUCGAGACUAGAACGUUGAUAGGCAGGGUGUGUAAGCGUUGUGAGGCGUUGAGCUAACCUGUACUAAUUGCCCGUGAGGCUUAACCAU
rnacentral:rRNA from 1 species